rnacentral:rRNA from 1 species
GACGAACGCUGGCGGCGUGCUUAACACAUGCAAGUCGAACGAUGAACCCGGAGCUUGCUCCGGCGGAUUAGUGGCGAACGGGUGAGUAACACGUGAGUAACCUGCCCUUGCCUCUGGGAUAACUGCUAGAAAUGGUAGCUAAUACCGGAUACGACCCUCGGUGGCAUCACCAGGGGGUGGAAAGAAUUUCGGUCAAGGAUGGACUCGCGGCCUAUCAGCUAGUUGGUGAGGUAACGGCUCACCAAGGCGACGACGGGUAGCCGGCCUGAGAGGGUGACCGGCCACACUGGGACUGAGACACGGCCCAGACUCCUACGGGAGGCAGCAGUGGGGAAUAUUGCACAAUGGGCGCAAGCCUGACGCAGCAACGCCGCGUGAGGGAUGACGGCCUUCGGGUUGUAAACCUCUUUUAGUAGGGAAGAAGCGAAAGUGACGGUACCUGCAGAAAAAGCACCGGCUAACUACGUGCCAGCCGCCGCAGUAA